rnacentral:tRNA from 1 species
UCCGUGGUGGCUCAGAUGGUAAAGAAUCUGCCUGCAAUGCAGAAGACCUGGGUUCGAUCCCUAGGUCAGGAA